rnacentral:rRNA from 1 species
GACGUAGGGCGCGAGCGUUGUCCGGAUUUAUUGGGCGUAAAGAGCUCGUAGGCGGCUUGUCGCGUCGGCUGUGAAAACCCGGAGCUCAACUCCGGGCCUGCAGUCGAUACGGGCAAACUGGAGUACUGCAGGGGAGACUGGAAUUCCUGGUGUAGCGGUGAAAUGCGCAGAUAUCAGGAGGAACACCGGUGGCGAAGGCGGGUCUCUGGGCAGUAACUGACGC